GGAUUAAAGCUAUCUAUUACUAUUUAUAAGCUUCUUAAAAGUGGGCCCAAUUGGGGACAGAGCAAACUCCUACCUAUCUACUUAACAGAACUCAUUUUAUGGCCGAACCUGACCAACGGUCCAUUAAGUGUGGCUCAAACUUUUCUAAGAAGUGGGUUGGACCAGCUCAACCACUAACAGAUUUGACCCAUUGCCACGCAUAAAUCUCAGUCUCAUUUUAUUUUAACAUCACAAACAAAAAACUCUUCACUUUAUCAGUUGCCAUGUUAAUGUUGUUCACUUUUUGCACUUCGGAUAUUUGAAUACGAUCGAUUGUUUCUUUCAUUUUGAUGUUCUGCUUCCUGUAGCCAUAUUGGCAUUCACUGCUGUUCUUUAAUAUUUUUGGCAGGAGGUUGUUAUUUUCCCUGAUUAUCUUUCAUAUGGGGAUAGUCUAUUAACUCGGUCUCAAUUAACUUUCUUUACCGAUCACAUCAAGCUUGAGGAUUUGAAUGAAUGUGAAAGCAGCGGAUCUGCUAAUUUAGAAUGGGCAACUGAUAAUCUCAUUCAUAUUGAGUGUCAGCAAAGUGAUAGCGUUGAAACUGCUCUGGUUAAACUUCGUCUACGACCAACUGAUGUAGUGAGAGUCAAUGAACAUGGUACUUCAGGCAUUGUGAAGUUGGAGUUUGCUGUUAGUGGUCCUCAGUGGCAAGAGAAAGAGCAAAUGAUUACAUCAUUGGCUGCAGUUUACAAGGCUAGAUGGAAUUCCAUGCUUAAGUAAGUUUUUGACUGCCUGUUUAUAGUUUGCAUCCUUG